UGCAGUCGACGGCAGCGCGAGAGAUUUUGCUCUCUUGGGGGCGAGGGGCGGACGGGUGAGUAAUAUGUCCGAACGCGCCCGGGAGCGGGGGAUAACUACUCGAAAGAGUGGUUACUACCGCAUACGCCCUACGGGGGAGGGGGGGGGAUCGCAAGACCUCUCACUAUUGGACCGAUGGAUAUCGGAUUAGCUGGUUGGUGGGGUAAAGGCUCACCAAGGUCACGAUCCGUAGAUGGUUUGAGAGGACGACCAGCCACACUGGUGACUGACACACCGCCCAUACUCCUACAAGAGGCGUGGUGGGGAAUUUUGGACAAUGGGGGAAACCCUGAUCCAGCCAUCCCGCGUGUAUGAUGAAGGCCUUCGUGGUUGUAAUUUACUUUUGGCAGAAAAUACUUGGAAUCCCCUAAUACGGGAUACUGACUGACGGUAUCUGAAAAAUAAUCCACCGGACUAACUACGUGCCAGCCGGCCGCGAUAAAUACGGUAGGCGUGCAAGCGUUAAUCGGUAAUUACUGGGACGUAGAUGCGUGUGGUAGUGCGUGCUCGGAA
rnacentral:rRNA from 1 species